AGAAUUAACGCUGGCGGCGUGCCUAACACAUGCAAGUCGAACGAGAAAGGGGUAGCAAUACCCUGAGUAAAGUGGCGCACGGGUGAGUAACACGUGACUAACCUACCCUUGAGUGGGGGAUAACUGAGGGAAACCUUAGCUAAUACCGCAUAAUACCCACGGGUCAAAGGAGCAAUUCGCUCGAGGAGGGGGUCGCGGCCGAUUAGUUAGUUGGCGGGGUAAUGGCCCACCAAGACGAUGAUCGGUAUCCGGCCUGAGAGGGCGCACGGACACACUGGAACUGAAACACGGUCCAGACUCCUACGGGAGGCAGCAGUGGGGAAUUUUGCGCAAUGGGGGAAACCCUGACGCAGCAACGCCGCGUGGAGGAUGAAGUCCUUCGGGACGUAAACUCCUUUCGAUCGGGACGAUUAUGACGGUACCGGAAGAAGAAGCCCCGGCUAACUACGCGCCAGCAGCCGC
rnacentral:rRNA from 1 species